rnacentral:lncRNA from 1 species
UUCAUCAAACUCAUUUAUUUACGACGUGUUUAUACCGUAAAGAGGUGUCAAAUGAUGCCCCUCUUAACCAAUGCAUUCUUUAAAAUUGUUGACAUUCAUCAUAAAUCUCCGAUUCGUAAGGGUUUUGCUCACUCAAAUAUCAGUGAAAUAAUUAAGAUUGGUGUCAACAUGGCAUGAGAUUCAAUCCAUUAUAUUAAACAUAGACCCAAAAAAUAAAAAAUUGAAGAUGCUAUGUGGACUGGCUUCUUGGAAUAUUCUAAGUGUAGGCCAGCCGCAUUAAUAACAUAAAUCUCGUUAAUUAUAGGGGAAGCACAACUUACAAUCAUUGCAUUGAUUGUGCUUUGAAAGACCAGCUUGCAUGCAUUAUUCCAUUAUAUUUAAGAUGCUAUGUGUUUUUGUUUUGAAAGACCAGCUUGCAUCCACAUAUUGAUGUCUUAAAUUAUGAACUAUAAAAUUAAUCACUACAUUUAGUACAUUUCAAAUAGAGUUGAGGGAUAAAAUUAAUCACUUUCAUUGAAGAACUUUCUUUUAAUGACCAUUUUUGUUUUUCCCAUUGAAGAAUUUCAUUUCUUUACUGAGCAUUUUAUUUUUAGCUUGAACUUGGAAAGG